rnacentral:rRNA from 1 species
AUGGUCACACUUGUCAUGCUCGUCGCUUGGGCGCUAUGGAAUGAAAGAAAUGCGUGUGUCUUCCGGAACCAUCCUUCAAUGCCGCCAACCAUUUUUGCUAAGAUUCAAACAAGAGUUGUUGAUUGGUCGACCGCCAGGGAGUAG